AUGCCCUGCCUUCGCCCCAGCACACAGCAGGGAUCGCGCACCCCAUCUGACAGGACACAGAGGACAAGCAGGGCCCCCACGCCCUCCACACUGUGCUGACCUCCGCACCCAAGACCCGGCUUGAGGCAGAAAGGACAGCGGGGCCCUGGUGGCAUGGGAGGAGCUGCCAGCUUAGACGCUGCUCCACGUAUGGGGAGCCAGGGAGCCGGUCGCUGGCCUCCGACACCGGGUCUGCUCCCUUCCUGGGCCACUGUGUGAGGAGGGAGCCCCGUCUCUCGCAAAGGGCUUUGGAGCCAGCACAGCAGGCUCUGAGAAGCAGCAGGCCCCGCCCAGCGCAGCCACCACCAGCGCCCCAGGUCCUUGGGCACAUUGCAGGAGGCCGCCCAGCCCCUGGCGGACGCGCUGCAUGCCCAGCAGCUUGCUGCUGUUUUCUCCUUUGGGUCUUCGGCGUUUGCUGCACGCAGGCUGAACCAGCACAGGCCCCUUCAGAAGCCAGGUGCCUCCCGGAGCACAGUGAGCCGUGGCCCUGAUGGCUCUAAGUCUGUGCUGCCAGCCCCCAAGGACUCCACACUGCCUCAGCUCAUGGGGGA